rnacentral:rRNA from 1 species
CGUGCGGUUCUAUUUUGUUGGUUUUUGGAAUCGCCGUAAUGAUUAAUAGGGACAGUCGGGGGCAUUAGUACUCACAUGCUAGAGGUGAAAUUCUUGGAUUUUGUGAAGACUAACUUCUGCGAAAGCAUUUGCCAAGGAUGUUUUCAUUAAUCAAGAACGAAGGUUAGGGGAUCGAAGACGAUCAGAUACCGUCGUAGUCUUAACCGUAAACUAUGCCGACUAGGGAUCGGGUGGUGUUUUUAUUAUGACUCACUCGGCACCUUACGAGAAAUCAAAGUUUUUGGGUUCUGGGGGGAGUAUGGUCGCAAGGCUGAAACUUAAAGAAAUUGACGGAGGGGCACCACCAGGCGUGGAGCCUGCGGCUUAAUUUGACUCAGCACGG